rnacentral:rRNA from 1 species
AUUGAACGCUGGCGGCAUGCUUUACACAUGCCAGUCGAACGGUAACAGGCCGCAAGGUGCUGACGAGUGGCGAACGGGUGAGUAAUGCAUCGGAACGUGCCCAGUCGUGGGGGAUAACUACUCGAAAGAGUAGCUAAUACCGCAUACGAUCUAUGGAUGAAAGCGGGGGACCGUAAGGCCCCGCGCGAUUGGAGCGGCCGAUGUCAGAUUAGGUAGUUGGUGGGGUAAAGGCUCACCAAGCCAACGAUCUGUAGCUGGUCUGAGAGGACGACCAGCCACACUGGGACUGAGACACGGCCCAGACUCCUACGGGAGGCAGCAGUGGGGAAUUUUGGACAAUGGGCGCAAGCCUGAUCCAGCAAUGCCGCGUGCAGGAAGAAGGCCUUCGGGUUGUAAACUGCUUUUGUACGGAACGAAACGGCUCUGGUUAAUACCCGGGGCUAAUGACGGUACCGUAAGAAUAAGCACCGGCUAACUACGUG